rnacentral:lncRNA from 1 species
UAACUUUUGUUAUUAAAAAUUGGUCUAGUGUAAUAGUAGCCCUUGUUUUUUCAAUAUUAUGGAAAAUACAAAAAGCAUCAGAAAUAUACUAAUUAUUCAGACCACUCUAGCAGUUUGUGUUUUUCCACUGUUAUUUCCUAUUCCUGUUCUAAUUUGGUGAGCUUCAUUAAAAACACAUUACUCAUUUCAGUUCAUUUUACCCAUUUACAGGUGUUUGCCCAUUAUGUUAUGAUCUUGCUCCUAAUUCUAGUCUCCCCCUCCCUCUCUCUCUCUCUCUCUUGUUAACCAACGUCUCUCUUUUUCCCUCCUAAAUCAAAAAUAUCCAUGGGGACAAAAUUUCUUUCUGUUUUUGGAGGGGACAAAUCUACAUCCAAAAGAAGGAGCACCCUUGUUAUUUCUGUCCUGGCAAUUUUAUUCUGCUGCGCAUAUACCAUCUGUUCAGUAUCCGGUAUUGCAUAUAGCACACUUUCAAUUCGCUUGUAAGUUUUUGUUUGUUUCUUUUGGCUGUCUUAGCUUAUAGCCAUGAUUUCACUCUAAAAAUGUUGAUUGGCAGGUACUAUUUCUUUUUCACCAGUGUGUUCCUGGUUCCAAGAAAAGUGCAGGAACAUAUAGUGGAAUCUCAGUAUAAACUUGUUGAAAGAAUGGAUGAUGCUUCCAUCAUGUUUUGGCUGUGACUAUAGGAUUAGAUUUGUCUCUGGAAUUUUCAUUUUAGCAUAUGUGUUGACUAUACUUCAUGCAUUUAUUAGAGAUAACAUAUGGUGACCUGGAUCAUAAUCCCCUUUUUAUAUUAAUAAAAUCCAGAUUUAUAACAAAGUAGUGGAGGGAAAGAGGCUAUAAUAAAGAGAUAGGAGACAGAGAUAACUCAUUUCUCCAAUACAAGCAAGUCAUCUGUGGGAAGAGGAGUGGGAUGUUCCUAGUUUAUAGUCCUUUAGUGAUAAGGCAUGCAGUCAGCCCUCUGUAUCGCCACGUUCGGCACAGUGGAUUUAGCCAAUGACAGAUGGAAAAUAUUUUUUAAUCUCGAUAAAAAAUAAUACAACAAUUAAAAAUAUUAAAAAUAAAAGCAAUACCAUACAACAACUAUUCACAUAACUUUUACAAUGUGUUAAGUGUUAUAAGUAAUCUAGAGAUGAUUUAAAGAAUAUAGGAGGAUGUGCAUAGUUAUAUGGAAGUACUGUGCCAUUUUAUGUCAGGCACUGGAGCAUCUUUAGAUUUGGGUAUCCCAAAGUUUCCUGGAACCAGUCCCCCAUGGAUAUAUAGGGAACACUGUACAAAAAAAUGGUUCCAGGUUUCUUCCCGCUUUGAAAUGUAAACAUGUCUGUCCAGAGAUAACUCUGUAUUUCUCUGGAGGUUUUUAUCUAUUCAAUUAUCCCUUAACUUCCAAGAUUUUUCUUUUAGUGCAGGUUUUUGUGCAAAGUUGCUUUGGCCACUCCAGGUCUUUCAGAUUUUCAAAUACUUGUUUAGAAUUAGCUUGAGAACUUAAAUAGCAACAAAGCCUUGAUGGGUUUAGAGAUUGC